GUAGCGCGGUGGUCCCACCUGACCCCAUGCCGAACUCAGAAGUGAAACGCCGUAGCGCCGAUGGUAGUGUGGGGUCUCCCCAUGCGAGAGUAGGGAACUGCCAGAC
rnacentral:rRNA from 7 species